rnacentral:lncRNA from 1 species
AUUCAUGGAGUACUUACCAGCAAGACUCCAAAAUGGAGCUCUAAGAAAAGCUUUUUGACUGUGAUUUAUUGAAUCCUGUAGGAGGCACGGCAGAAAUCAGGGUAUUACAUUAAGAACUUGCCGAGCUCAUUCUGAAUUCUCAGCUUGCCCUCCAGCAUAUCAGCAGUGCCUACAAAUGUAAUAGGAACGCUUCCCAUUCUAUCAUUCAGGUAAUUAAU